rnacentral:rRNA from 1 species
CCUACGGGUGUCAGCAGUUAGGAAUAUUGGUCAAUGGAGGAAACUCUGACCCAGCAACGCCGCGUGAAGGAAGAAGGUUUUCGGAUUGUAAACUUCUGAUCUGUGGGACGAAGAAAGUGACAGUACCACAGGAUAAAGCCACGGCUAACUACGUGCCAGCAGCCGCGGGAAUACGUAGGUGGCGAGCGUUGACCGGAAUACAUGGGGGUAAAGGGAGCGUAGGUGGUUGAUUAAGUUAAAUGUUAAAGCCCAGGGCUGAACUCUGGAACUGGAGUUAAUACGAGUCGGCUAGAGUACAGGAGGGGUAAACGGAAUUUCUAGUGUAGCGGUGAAAUGCGUAGAUAUUAGGAAGAACACCGGAGGCGAAGGCGGUUUACUGGACUGCAACUGACACUGAGGCUCGAAAGCGUGGGGAGCAAACAGGAUUAGAUACCCUAGUAGUC